rnacentral:rRNA from 1 species
AAUAUUGCGCAAUGGAGGGAACUCUGACGCAUCUACGCCGCGUGAUCGAUGAAGGUCUUCGGAUAGUACAGCUCUGUCCUUGGGGACUAAGGUCUUCUGCCUUGACGUGACCUCAGGCGGGAGUCCCGGCUAACUACCUGCCAGCAGCCGCGGUAAUACGUAGGGGGCAAGCGUUGUCCGGAAUUAUUGGGCGUAAAGGGUGCGUAGGCGGCCUUUUAAGUCAGAUGUGAAAGCCCACGGCUUAACCGUGGGACUGCAUUUGAAACUGGAGGGCUUGAGUAUCGGAGAGGGUAGUGGAAUUCCCAGUGUAGCGGUGGAAUGCGUAGAUAUUGGGAGGAACACCAGUGGCGAAGGCGACUACCUGGACGAAAACUGACGCUGAGGCACGAAAGCUAGGGGAGCAAACA